GUAAACGUCCACAUUAUCCUAUUUAUUCUUAAUGGCCUUCUGGUUCUUGAGGUUUCUUGCAUUUUAUCUCAGAGGCUAUGCAGAACCAUGAGAAGGAAUUCAGCCAUCUCUGCUAAAUUUCUUCUUUGCAGAGUGACUAGGACCCAGAGAAAAGAGAGAAAAUAGUGUAGACACCCUAAGCACAGAGCUCAACGAAAUAUGAUGGCUUUGGCCAUAAAUGCCGCUUUAUGGCUGUCUGUAAAGCUGCCCAUCAAGAAGCUUCCGACAGAUGACCCGCAGUGAUGAGAGGAUGAAGGGAGCGGCACUGCAGAACAUUCCACCUGACGGGGACACAGAUCAUGGGAAGGGCAUUCUCAUCAAGCACAGGGUAUCUUUCAGUUCUUUCUUCCUCCUUCGUAUCCUCUGGCCCAGCCCCUCUACUUGUGUCCCUGCCUCUCAGUUUCCAGCUGCCAUUCAUUCAUUCAUUCAUUUUUUCAUUGAAUUAUAUUUUAAUUAACUCAUAUUCAUUCAAACAUUAUUCAUGACUUUUUAAAUUACUCAGAUAGCAGAUAUUUAUCGUACUAACAACUGCAGAUUAGAUUUAUUGGACUCUUUCUAGAUGGUAGGUUCCUUGAUAAGUUGUUAACACUAACAACAGCAUCAACAUUUAUUGAGCAUUUAUUCUGUGUCAAGCACCUUGGUAAUUGUUGUACAUGAACUAUUUCAUUUUAUCUUCACAAAAGUUGUCUGGGAUAAGAUGCUAUUAUUAACAGGAUUUUUACAGGUUGGGAGAAGUAUCUUAGAGAGUUUAGGCAAAUUGUCGAAAGUCACACAGCUAGUAAAUUAGAGAGUCAGGUUUCAAAAUCAUGUCUAUCUAACUUAAAACAAGUACUCAACUUUUACUUGGGACAGUCUCAACAGAUCUAAAAUUCCAGUGUUUAUCAUUCUUGCUCAGUAAUGAAUUCAUAGGGAAAGUGAUACUUGAUCUGUGUUGUAAAGUGUGGACAAGGAGACCACUAAGAAAAUGAUUUAAGAAGGUAUUCAUUCCAAUUGAAAACAACAUACUAAAGAAAACAGUGAAGCAGAAACCCACAGCAUGGCCCCAUUUUCCCAGCAUCACUCAUUGAAAAGGUAUUAAUAUGUCAUCAUCAAUUUGACAAAAGCAAAUGGUGAGUUAAAAAUCUUUCCAUUGAAAAUGACAGGGAAUCCAACUCAAACUGGCUUGAAGAAUAACGGGAUGUAUAAACUUGCGUCAGUGAAAAGGCCAGAGGCAGGACCAGCUUCAGGUACAGUUUGAUCUAGAAUCAUCAAGGACCAGUUUUGUUCCUUUCCAUAUUUCCUCUUUGCAUUCCAAAGCAUCACUUGCUUCUUCAGGCCUCAAAUGGCUUCCCAUUGGCAGUUCCGUGGUCUUCUGACCUAGUAGUAAAGAAGCUGUUCAGGUCUUUAUGUCUUCACACCAUACGGAUCACAGAAGGAGUGGCUUUCAAGGAGGGGAGAGAACUUUCUUUUUCCCAGAAGCCCUAGAAGACUUCUCCACAGGUUUCAGUGGUUCUGACUGGGUUUCUGCCAUCAUGGAUCAAAUAAUGGCGGCCAGAGAGAUGCGAUGGGAUAGAAUUAUUGGCUUUAGCCAGUCAGGGUCUGGGCCAAGGAUCAAUACCACAAAAAUGCAUGACUGAUCAUGGGAAAGAAGUAACAGCCCCAAAGCCAACUCCAGCUGGUGUUAUCU
ensembl:lncRNA